rnacentral:rRNA from 1 species
AGCCACAGCCAUAUCACCCUGCAGCACACCGGUUUCCCACUGAAGCUAAGCAGGGCUGAGCCUGGUCAGUACCUGGAUGGGAGACCACAUGGGAAAACUAGGUUGCUGUUGGAA